rnacentral:lncRNA from 1 species
UUUUUUUUAAUUCCUAAGUAUUCAACACUCAAUCAAGUUGAUGGAUGAUGAGUGAGGGAAACAAAAAAGAAAAGUUGGUGGGUAUAUGGACCCUUCUCGAUAUCCAAAGUUCCAACAGCACUCCACUAAUUUGCACCAAACAAGCAAGUAAUCAAGUUGUUUUCUUCAUCCCUCUUGAUUGCCAAUUGUCCAUAAUUAAAAUUGCUUUAGCUUGAAGGCGUCUCAUGGUUAGAAAUCAGUCAUUUCAUCAGCAAUUAUUGAUUAUCUAAUCUCUCAAGGUAUCUCCAAUGUUGUCCUUAAAAUUAUUCCUACCACCGUAUAAACCCUACAUAUACGUUCAGGCAUCCUCCAAUGGGCCAAAAAUGGAGUCCCUAUAGCAUAGGGACUCGCCAAAGUA